rnacentral:lncRNA from 1 species
AAUCUUAUUGUUUUCCUUUUGCCAGUGAGUUGAGGAAUGAGGCGGCAGUUUAUAGUAAUGCAGAUAUUCAUUCUUGAGCUUUGAUCUGUCUACUGGACGUGUAAAAUCCAUUUUUUUCCUACUCAAAUGUACAUGAGAUAGAAUAUUUGUUUCCUAUCUAUAAAAGACAAAAGACCAUGUUAAUGUUAUUAUGUAUGAUCAUCUGAUCUCAACUUAGCAAUUUUUUUUCCUUUGUCAGGAUUUUGGUAACUUCUUGUAAGCUAUUACAGCUCCUUACUCAGUUGGUGAAAGGAAAGUUGUGCUGAUAUUCUCUAUUGAAUAGGCAAUGACCCCAACUGUGAUAUGUCAUCAGAAUUUAAGUGAAGAAUCAUACUUCUUUUGUGUGUAAUUUGCCGGCAUUAGUUCUCUUUAAUCAGUCAGUGAAAAGGGCUAGUCAUUCCUCUUAAGUCAUCCUGAAGGUGCUCUAGCAUAUGUAAGUUAUUCUUUCUCUCUUUUUUUUUUAUCUCAGCAGCUUUUUAUUUUUGGUUACUUCUAUUGGCUUGUUUGUUAAUUCUUUUCCUUUGUUAAAUCUUGUUGAGCAGUGUGGAGCUUAUAAUGCCGAGGAAUCAUCUUCAGGUCAGGAUUUUUUU